rnacentral:tRNA from 1 species
GGCCCUGUAGUUCAACGGAUAGAACUCCGGACUUCUAAGCCGGAUACGGAGGUUCGACUCCUCCCGGGGCCA